AUUAGUAUGAGUUUGAUCCUGGCUCAGAAUGAACGCUAGCGAUAAGCUUAACACAUGCAAGUUGAACGCCAAUUCUGUAAAUCACAGAAUUGGAGUAGCGAACGGGUGAGUAACGCGUAAGAAUCUACCUCGCAAACCAAGCAAAGACUUUUCUGAAUCUUGGAUAAAGUCACACAAAAUGGGAAUUUCUUGAAAUUCAAAAGAGAUUCUUUUUUGCUUUAAGGAAGCCUUCUGUUUUGUGUGAAAAAAGGACUCUCACGUUGCGAGAUGAGCUUGCGUAGGAUUAGGUAGUUGGUGGGGUAAAGGCCUACCAAGCCAAAGAUCCUUAGCUGGUCUGAGAGGAUGAUCAGCCACACUGGGACUGAGACACGGCCCAGACGCUUUCGAGCGGCAGCAGUGAGGAAUCUUGGACAAUGGGCGAAAGCUUGAUCCAGCUAUAUCGCGUGGGUGAUGAAGACUGUAUUGGUUGUAAAACCCUUUACUCCUUGAGAGAUUAUGACAAACAGGGAGAAAAAAGUCCCGGCCAAUUUCGUGCCAGCAGCCGCGGUAAUACGAGAGGGGCAAGCGUUAUUCGGAAUGAUUGGGCGUAAAGCGCACGUAGGCUGUUUAGAAAAUCAGAGAGAAAAAUCUCAAAGUUGUGCUUUGACAUUUGUUUUAUGAUUCCUAAACUGGAGUGAGUAAGAGGAGAAUGGAAUUCCUGGCGUAGAGGUAAAAUUUGUUGAUAUCAGGAGGAACACCAAAAGCGAAGGCAAUUCUCUGGUACUCUACUGACGUUGAGGUGCGACAGCGUGGGGAUCAAAAGGGAUUAGAUACCCCUGUAGUCCACGCCGUCAACGAUGACCUUUCUAUGAAUAGUCAAGCUUUGAAAGUCUCUUCAGUCACAAAAACGACGUUUUUGUGAAGUGAAUCGACCAAAGUUUUAUGGUUUGUAUUAGCUAACGCGUUAAAAGGUCCGCCUGAGGAGUACGGUCGCAAGACUAAAACUCAAAGGAAUAGACGGGGGCUCACACAAGUGGUGGAACAUGUGGUUUAAUUCGAAACAACGCGCAAAACCUUACCAGUCCUUGACAUAAUCUUUUUACAAUCUCGCUCUAUCUCGAGAUAAUCUCCGUGGAAAAAAUCAGGAGAGUAAAGAUUACAGGUGUUGCAUGGCUGUCGUCAGUUCGUGUUGUGAAAUGUUGGAUUAAUUUCCUUAACGAACGAAACCCCCCUUUUCAUUCAAAACAGAGACACUCUUCAUGUUUUAAAUGGAAAGACAGCUGGUGAUAGACUAGAGGAAGGGAGGGAUCACGUCAAGUCCUCAUGACCCUUAUGGGCUGGGCUACACACGUGUUACAAUGGUGAGGACAAAGAGGAGCAAUGACGAGAGUCGGAGCAAAUCUCAAAAAACUCACCCCAGUUCAGAUUGUUCUCUGCAACUCGAGAACAUGAAGCCGGAAUCACUAGUAAUCGUGGAUCAGCACGCCACGGUGAAUCUGUACCUGAGCCUUGUACUCCCCGCCCGUCACACACUGCGAGUUGAUAGUGUAGGAAGUCUUUUCUGAAAAGAAAAAAAUCUUAUUCAAUCUUGAUGUUUUGAAAGAUGGAUUUUUCUCUUUUUAGUGAGCCGAAUAUAAGAUGAGUGAGUGGUGUGAAGUCGUAACAAGGUAGCCGUAGGGGAACCUGCGGCUGGA
rnacentral:rRNA from 1 species